GGGUUCCUGGAGGGCCUCGCCGGGGACCCGAGGAAAACGACCUUCUUUUCCCUUGCAGCGGCGGGGGAGGGCGAAGUGGAGGACUGCUGCUCGGUUCCGUAUCCAAAAGGGACCCAAGGCUACAGGCAAAAUAGAUUGGACAUUUUCACUUUCUCAAGCCAGGGCCACCGGUCGCCCAACUAGCAGCCACUGAGAGCGAUAUCGGGGCGCUCCUUCCCCUGGCAGUGUAUUUCAGCCCCCAGAGACAUCCCCCACCUCGGCCAUCCCCAGCGCCUUUGCAGUGACAGCAGCACAACCAUAGCAGAGGUCUUGGGCACCCUGGAAAUAACGUGCUGGUGAUCUGGCUCAGAAGUGCACGUUGGUCCGCGCGUCCGGGGAGCUGAGAAGCAAGAGAUUGGACCUUUGCACGUGUCAAGCAAGGUUUGGCCUGCUUUGAAGACAGUAAUUUCAGAGCCACUCCGGUCUCUGCGUCACAAGCAGGCAUCAGGGCAGUGGUGGGGCGGCAGGGGGUCCUGAGACCUCCAUGCCCUCUCUUUGGCCCCAGUGCUUCUGGGCUUCAAAAUGGUUAAUUGAAAAGAACAGAGGUCACGUGACAACAUGAGUAUCUCCCCCAAGGAGGCCUACUUGUCUAUAACCAGGAAUCUGAACCAGCAGACAAAGCACUGUUGGGUCCUUGCUGCAACCUCUUCCCCCCACCCGCUUUGAUG
rnacentral:lncRNA from 1 species